rnacentral:misc_RNA from 1 species
AAGUCGUAACAAGGUUUCCGUAGGUGAACCUGCGGAAGGAUCAUUACUGAAUUUUUAAUGCCUUGGUUGUUGCUGGCCUUUUAUUAGGCAUGUGCACGCCUCGGUUAUUUCCAAAUUCUUUACACCUCUGUGCACUUUACAUGGAUUUUUUAUAUUUUCUUAUUGAUGGACGUUCGAGCUUGCCACCGCGAGUUUGACGAAAGUCAAUUGAAGAUUUAAAGUCUGUGGUUUACACAUUUAUACGCUUCAGUUUAAAGAAUGUAAUACUCGCGUUUAACGCAAUUAAAUAAUACAACUUUCAGCAACGGAUCUCUUGGCUCUC